GCAUUAAUAGCUCAGUGAGAGAGCACCAGUCUUGUAAGCUGGACGCCGGGGGUUAGAGUCCCCCUUAAUGUC
rnacentral:tRNA from 1 species